rnacentral:lncRNA from 1 species
UUUUUGGUGUUUUUGGGUAAGUUAGACAAAUUGAAUUUUCUGUUUUGACUUUAAGAAAAUGGUCGUUGAGUCUUUUGGGAGAAAACGAGAGUUUCGUGUGAAACUUCGAUUGUGAACUAUUUUGAAAAUAAGUGUUUAUGUGAGGUUUGGGUAAUUUGUUUUGGGAUGGUUGGAACAUGAAUUUUCUGUGGAAUAAGAUAGAGUUAAGUGUAAGGAACGCGUAGACGAAAACGAAAUCAAAAUCGGAUUAACGGUUUGAAUUUCUCGGACGAAAUGGCG